GAUGAAGAACGCAGCGAAAUGCGAUAAGUAAUGUGAAUUGCAGAAUACAGUGAAUCAUCGAAUCUUUGAACGCAUCUUGCGCUCCUUGGUAUUCCGAGGAGCAUGCCUGUUUGAGUGUCAUUAAAGUUCUCAACCACAUUACUACAUAUGUGGCUUGGAUGUGGGGGUUUGCAGGCUUUCUCUGAGGGUCUGCUCCUCUGAAAUGCAUUAGUGGUAUUCCUGAGCUUUACUACAGAUGUGAUAAUUUAUCUACAUCCCAAAAGUAUGCUUCAGCAACACCGCUCCUAACAAGCGAAAGCACAUUUUGAUGAAUUUGACCUCAAAUCAGGUAGGACUACCCGCUGAACUUAAGCAUAUCAAUAAGCGGAGGA
rnacentral:misc_RNA from 1 species